GACGUAGGGCGCGAGCGUUGUCCGGAUUUAUUGGGCGUAAAGAGCUCGUAGGCGGCUUGUCGCGUCGUCCGUGAAAACUCACAGCUCAACUGUGAGCUUGCGGUCGAUACGGGCAGGCUAGAGUUCGGUAGGGGAGACUGGAAUUCCUGGUGUAGCGGUGAAAUGCGCAGAUAUCAGGAGGAACACCGGUGGCGAAGGCGGGUCUCUGGGCAAUUCCUGACGCUGAGGCGCGAAAGCGUGGGGAGCAAACGGG
rnacentral:rRNA from 1 species